rnacentral:rRNA from 1 species
GACGUAGGGCGCGAGCGUUGUCCGGAUUUAUUGGGCGUAAAGAGCUCGUAGGCGGUUUGUCGCGUCUGCUGUGAAAACCUAAGGCUCAACCUUGGGCUUGCAGUGGGUACGGGCAGACUAGAGUGCGGUAGGGGUGACUGGAAUUCCUGGUGUAGCGGUGGAAUGCGCAGAUAUCAGGAGGAACACCGAUGGCGAAGGCAGGUCACUGGGCCGCAACUGACGCUGGAGGAGCGAAAAGCAUGGGGAGCGAACAGG